GACGAACGCUGGCGGCGUGCUUAACACAUGCAAGUCGAACGGAAAGGCCCUGCUUUUGUGGGGUGCUCGAGUGGCGAACGGGUGAGUAACACGUGAGUAACCUGCCCUUGACUUUGGGAUAACUUCAGGAAACUGGGGCUAAUACCGGAUAGGAUCUCCUGCUGCAUGGUGGGGGUUGGAAAGUUUCGGCGGUUGGGGAUGGACUCGCGGCUUAUCAGCUUGUUGGUGGGGUAGUGGCUUACCAAGGCUUUGACGGGUAGCCGGCCUGAGAGGGUGACCGGCGACAUUGGGACUGAGAGAAGGCCCAGACGCCUAAGGGAGGCAGAAGUGGGGAAGAUUGCCCAAUGGGCGGAAGCCUGAUGCAGCAAGGCCGCGUGCGGGAUGACGGCCUUAGGGUUGAAAAACGAAUUCGCCUGUGACGAAGCGUGAGUGGAGGUAACGGGUAAAGAAGCACCGGCUAAAUAAGGGC
rnacentral:rRNA from 1 species